rnacentral:rRNA from 1 species
UACGAAGGGGGCUAGCGUUGUUCGGAUUUACUGGGCGUAAAGCGCACGUAGGCGGAUCGUUAAGUCGGGGGUGAAAUCCUGGAGCUCAACUCCAGAACUGCCUUCGAUACUGGCGAUCUUGAGUCCGGAAGAGGUGAGUGGAACUCCUAGUGUAGAGGUGGAAUUCGUAGAUAUUAGGAAGAACACCAGUGGCGAAGGCGGCCCCCUGGGCCGGCCCUGACACUGAGACGCGAAAGCGUGGGGAGCGAACAGG